UGCACUUCUUCAAUUUAUUAAAUUAAUCAAUUGCUAAAUACAGUAUUUACUGUCAGCAUGGAAGCAUGAUGCGGCUUUGCCUGAUUUUAUCGGAUCAGGAUGCUUAAUGAAAGAUUCAGAAGGCAAUAUCCAGUACAAUUUUGGAUCAGAUAUACGUAUUGGAACUAGAGAGGACGCACUAACAUUACCCGAAGAUGAUAUAAAGAUGUUGUAUUCCAAAAAAAGGAAAGGAGAAAAAGUGGCAACGCUCAGCUAACAACACCCCAACAAAAGAAAAGAAAGAGAAAAGAAAAGCUGUGAUGUCUACCCCAAUGUAAGUACAAACCUUUUUUUAUUUAGUUGUUAAAAUUAAGUAUAUUCAUAUUCAAUACAAAAUUAUCUGGUAUGAUCGCCAUUGUGAAAACUCUCCAUCCAAGUAUAAAAGCAGAAGAAAAAAAGCAAGUAUAUGUUACACUACGACCUUCAACAUGGAGCCUUGACUCUAACAUAUAAUAUCAAUGGGUACUGUGUAACAGUUCAGAUAGGACAUAAACCAACAGCAUAUUCAAAUUUAAAAACAACUAGAACACACCCGCGAAAUCGCGGGCAUUCAGAGCGUAGUUUAAAAAGUAUGUAAAGUGUUGUUGGAAGAAUUUUGUAAAAUAUUGAAUGACUGGAGAAUUUCAGCAAAAGUAUCAUUAGUCAUAGGUUAUUGGGGAAAGGAAAAUGUUUUUUUUAUCCCUCCUCCUUUAUUUCCAAAAUUCCAAAUUUUUGGUUUUCUAUAAAUUUUAAUAUGAACAUACCUUUAAUAUGUUAUGAACAUUUAAGUAAGGAGCCUGUAAUUCAGUGGUUGUCGUUUGUUUAUGUGGUACAUAUUUAUUUUUCGUUCAUUUUUUGUAGGGGGUCUCAUUGGGGGUUCUGAUCCCGGAUCCCGCUGACUGUUUCGCCCCGCUUACACUGAGUACGAAAGCAAUUUUUAUUCUUUUGUAAUUUCCCGUGUCCCGCUAGACUACAUUUCCUGUUUUCACGACACAAUAAUUUGACUUUCACGUGUCACGCUUACAAAAAAAUCGGCAAUCCCGCGUCACCCCAACGAGACCCACUUUUUACAUAAAUAAGGCCGCUAGUUUUCUCGUUUGAAUUGUUUUACAGCGUCAUGUCGGGGCCUUUUAAAGCUGAGUAUGCGGUAUGGGCUUUGCUCGUUGUUGAAGGCCGUACGGUGACCUAUAGUUGUUAAUUUCUGUGUCAUUUUUGGUUUCAUGUGGAGAGUUGUCUCAACAUAGCAAUCAUACGACAUCUUCCUUUUUUUUGUAAUCAUAGAAUUUUGUAAAAGAUUUAAUGACUGGAGAAUUUCAGAAAAAUCAAACGUUCACAUGAAUUAUUUUAGCGCUUAUCUGUAUAUUAUGAACAUUCAUUACUAUAUAAAUAAAGUGUAUUUACUUUCAAUUCUAAGUUUACUAAUCGAUCCAUGGUGGGCAUUGGUAUAGUAUACAGACCCUCUAAUAAUAAACUCUGUGACCGCCGUGGAUAGUAAACUUGAAAAUGAUAGCAGAUAGAAUUAAAAUACACUUUAUUCGUAGUAAUAAUGUAUAUAUAUAUGUUCAAAGAAAAACGCAAACCGGAAGUGUAAUCUAACUUAAAAUUUCGUCCAAUGACGGGACAAUAUCCGGAUGCCUUUUUUUCUCGUUUUUCUCCCAAAAUAACUCAAUCUAAAUAAUCAUAUGAAUGGAUGACAAAUGCGACUAUGCACUGUACAUAUAGAACACAGAGGCAUGUUGAUUAAUUUAUUGUGGAAAGAAGAGAGGCGACACACAAAAUGAGGUCUUCUCGUUUAAUAGUAUAGAUAAUGUAUUGUCUGUAUAAAGUAUGAAAUAUUUGCCACUGGACAUUCAAUAUUUGCAUUUUGGUAAGCUUUUCAAUAAACCAACAGCCAUAUUCAAAUAUAAAAAACAAUAACAUAUUAUCUGUAUUAAGUAUGAAAUAUUUGCCACUGAACGUUUACUAUUUCUAUUUUGAUAAGCUCUUCAAAAACUUAAGGUUAACAUCUUUUAAAAAAUGGGCAAAUUGAUAUACCAAACAUAUUGGAUACACUGUUUUAAAUAAAACUAACAAGUUAAAUAAUACAAUGAAAGGUUAAACAUGUAUGUAUAUGUUCUAAAAUGUCACAAACAAUUGAAUAAUAUUAUAGGUAAAAGUUUGAGGGACCUUUUCAUGAAUAUUUAUGAUUGCAUUAUGUUUUUCAAAAUAUAUGUGAAGUAAUGUUUGCUUUGUGUUAAUUUCUCAAACUUUACUGAUAAGAAUUACUUUUUUAUAUUGAAGCAAAAUGAAGAACAAACAGGAUGGAGCAAACUAGUCAAGUCUACUAUGUACAUGUAUCAACCACAAA
rnacentral:lncRNA from 1 species